CUUCAAAAUAUUAGCCGAGGCUUUGAGUCAAUUGAAGCAUUAAUUGAAUCCAUUGCUCCGCAAAAUGAUUCACAGUUUCGAAGCGCUCGAAAGACUGAAAAAUACAAAAAUAUAAAAAACAUAAAAACAUAAAAAAUGCAAAAAAUUUCAGUCUAAAAACGAAAUAACAAGAUUAAAGUGUUUCGUUUCGAAACCCGAAGCCUCAUUUUCUGAAAUCACAAGUUCCGAACCACUGAUUCAGAACAAAAGAUUCGAACAAACUGUUUCGAAACUUCAUAUUUAAAGCGCCGAUCAUCGUUGGUCAGCGUGUUUGUCACAAGACUCGUCUGGAGAAAAUAUGUCUGAUUCCUGUGCUGCUUGGUGCUGUAAAAACCACCGCACAAUUCAAACAGAUACUGGGGAAUUACUUUUCAAAAGUUUCCUAAGGAGAAAGGAACCAGUGGCAACCAGGACAACAAGAACC